GCCGAUAAAAGGCAAACCUGUCGAAAGGCAGGGGCGCAAAGCCAUGGGCCUACGGCUCCAUUGAUGAUGGAGCUACGGCUGCCAGGUUGCCGGC
rnacentral:ncRNA from 1 species